rnacentral:piRNA from 1 species
UCAUCUCUUCUUCUUUCCAAG